rnacentral:rRNA from 1 species
GACGAACGCUGGCGGCGUGCUUAACACAUGCAAGUCGAGCGGAGCGGCGAACGGGUGAGUAAAGCGUGAGUAACUGCCCCACUCUCUGGGAAAAAAGUUGGAACCGGCUGCUAAUACUGGAAAGUGGGGGAUGACUCGGGUCCUAUCAGCUUGUUGGUGGGGUAGUGGCCUAACAGGGCGACGACUGGUAGCCGGCCUGAGAGGGCGACCGGCCACAUUGGGCUGAGAUACGGCCCAAACUCCUACGGGAGGCAGCAGUGGGGAAUAUGGCACAAUGGGGGAAACCCUGAGGCAGCAACGCCGCGUGCGGGAUGACGGCCUUCGGGUUGUAAACCGCUUUCAGCCAUGACGCGGUAGUGGCAGAAGAAGCACCGGCUAACUACGUGCCAGCAGCCGCGGUAAUUC